GUGGACGAAGCCAAAUGGUGAGGCGACUGAUUGUGGCUCAGUUCUUAGCGGGUUCGAUUCCCGUCGUUCACCCCA
rnacentral:tRNA from 1 species